rnacentral:tRNA from 1 species
UGGGGUGUCGCCAAGUGGUAAGGCAGCGGNNCAUUCCCAGGUUCGAAUCCUGGCACCCCAGCCA